AUAGGUAGGAAUUUGCUGCAGUGCUUUAGUCAACGAUAUAGUAAUCUCCAAUUGAUUGAAGAUCUCUCUAAAGCGCCCACAUUGUCUCUCUUUAUCUACUUUCUCACUCCCUUUGGAUAAGGAAGAAAUUUUUCAUCUUUUUCAAUUUUUUUCUCUCCCCUCUUCUUCUGUUGUUUUUCCAUCUCAUCCUCACAUGAUUUCUCUUCUUUUUCCUCUCUCCUCUCUAACUCAACACUCUCUUUUUCCUCUUCCACUCCCUCCUCAACUAUACUCACUAUGCCUUUACAAUCUUCCUUAGGGUAAAUCUCAGUAUUAGCCCCAAACUGAUUUUAUGCUUUCUCCUUUAUUG
rnacentral:lncRNA from 1 species